UACGGGGGGGCAAGCGUUGUUCGGAAUUACUGGGCGUAAAGGGCUCGUAGGCGGCCAACUAAGUCAUACGUGAAAUCCCUCGGCUUAACCGGGGAACUGCGUCUGAUACUGGAUGGCUUGAGUUCGGGAGAGGGAUGCGGAAUUCCAGGUGUAGCGGUGAAAUGCGUAGAUAUCUGGAGGAACACCGGUGGCGAAGGCGGCAUCCUGGACCGAUACUGACGCUGAUGAGCGAAAGCCAGGGGAGCAAAGCGGG
rnacentral:rRNA from 1 species